GCCGGAGUGGCGGAAUGGAAGACGCGACGGACUCAAAAUCCGUUGUCCUUCGGGACGUGGGGGUUCGACUCCCCCCUCCGGCACCA
rnacentral:tRNA from 1 species